GGGGCAGAGGAACUCCUCAGGAACCCCGACUCUCCGGACGCCUGGAAAACGCUUCGGAUUGGACACAAUUUCCUGUCCCAAAGGAGAUGUCUCCCAGAAGGAAGUAGAAGACUCAAGCCAGGAGAAGACACAGGACUGAUUCAAGGCUGUGGGAGUUCUUGAGUUUUCUCCAUGGACUCCCAGUAUUCCACAAAGACACUGGUUCUCAGUCCUGUGUAUGAAGAAUGGUCA